rnacentral:rRNA from 1 species
UACGUAGGGGGGCAAGCGUUGUCCGGAAUCAUUGGGCGUAAAGAGCGUGUAGGCGGUUCAGUAAGUCUGCUGUGAAAUCCCUGGGCUCAACCCAGGGCCUGCAUCGGAAACUGUCGGGCUUGAGUAUGGGAGAGGUGAGUGGAAUUUCCGGUGUAGCGGUGAAAUGCGUAGAUAUCGGAAGGAACACCUGUGGCGAAAGCGGCUCACUGGACCAUUACUGACGCUGAGGCACGAAAGCUAGGGGAGCAAACAGG